rnacentral:rRNA from 1 species
AAUGAACGCUGGCGGCGUGGAUUAGGCAUGCAAGUCGAACGGGGUAGCAAUACCCAGUGGCGACCUGGACAGUACAAGUUGGGUAACUUGCCCGAAAGUGGGGAACAACGUCCCGAAAGGGGCGCUAAUACCGCAUGUGGUCACGGGGUCCUCGGACUCUUUGACUAAAGCAGCAAUGCGCUUUCGGAUGGGCCCGACUCCCAUUAGCUAGUUGGCGAGGUAAUAGCUCACCAAGGCUACGAUGGGUAGGUGGUCUGAGAGGAUGGACACCGUCACGAGGACUGAGAUACGGCCUCGACUCCUACGGGGGGCAGCAGUCUAGAAGCUUCGGCAAUGGGCGAAAGCCUGACCGAGCGACGCCGCGUGGAGGAUGAAGGUCUUCGGAUUGUAAACUCCUUUCGGCGGGAAAGAACGUCUGGGUGGCGAACUCAGGCUUGACUGACCCGCGGAAGAAGCCCCCGGCUAACUCUGUGCCAGCAGCCGCGGUAAU